rnacentral:rRNA from 1 species
GUAGGAGCCUAGCGUUAUCCGAAUUUACUGGGCGUAAAGCGCAUGUAGGCGGCUGGGUAAGUUGGCUGUGAAAUCUCCCGGCUCAACUGGGAGAGGCCGGUCAAGACUGCCUGGCUGGAGGCUGGUAGAGGGAGGUGGAAUUCCCGGUGUAGUGGUGAAAUGCGUAGAUAUCGGGAGGAACACCAGUGGCGAAAGCGGCCUCCUGGACCAGACCUGACGCUCAGAUGCGAAAGCUAGGGGAGUGAACGGGAUUAGAAACCCCGGUAAUCCUAGCUGUAAACGAUGUCGACUUGGCGUCGGUGGGGUAAAAGCCAGCGGUGCCGGAGCUAACGCAGUAAGUCGACCGCCUGGGGACUACGGCCGCAAGGUUAAA